rnacentral:rRNA from 1 species
CCUACGGGGGGCAGCAGUGGGGAAUAUUGGACAAUGGGGGGAACCCUGAUCCAGCCAUGCCGCGUGUGUGAAGAAGGCCCUCGGGUUGUAAAGCACUUUCAGUGAGGAAGAACGCCUGGUGGUUAAUACCCAUCAGGAAAGACAUCACUCACAGAAGAAGCACCGGCUAACUCCGUGCCAGCAGCCGCGGUAAUACGGAGGGUGCGAGCGUUAAUCGGAAUUACUGGGCGUAAAGCGCGCGUAGGUGGCUUGAUAAGCCGGUUGUGAAAGCCCCGGGCUCAACCUGGGAACGGCAUCCGGAACUGUCAAGCUAGAGUGCAGGAGAGGAAGGUAGAAUUCCCGGUGUAGCGGUGAAAUGCGUAGAGAUCGGGCGGAAUACCAGUGGCGAAGGCGGCCUUCUGGACUGACACUGACACUGAGGUGCGAAAGCGUGGGUAGCAAACAGGAUUAGAUACCCGAGUAGUC